rnacentral:rRNA from 1 species
ACCCCUGGUUAUACCAUCCUGAACAUGCCUGAUCUCAUCUGAUCUUAGAAGGGUGUUUGGAUGGGAGUACUUGGGUGGGAGGGUGCUUGGGAAUGCCUGGCCUGGUGCU